CUCCAAGCUUCUCCACAAAUUUUUGAUGUAAGUGUACUUGUAGGAUAUCUAUUCCUUAUAUACAAUACUAUUACCAUAGCUUCCACCCAAUACUUAAACCUUCACCUUCACUAAAGGCCAUGUGUAAGUAGGAUUCUAUCAAAAAAUAUCAAAAAAGGAGUCAUUGUGAGCUUGUAAUCACCAAAAAAAUUUAAGACUAGUAGAAUCUCAGAAUGCCUUUUUGUAAAUAAAUAAGUACUUUCUUACUCAAAAAACUCUCAACUGAAGCUUUGAAGCUUUUUACAAGUAUGUGUACUCUAAUAAAUCUUACUAUCAUAAACUCUCACUUUUGGAAUCAAGUAUUUUACUAUAUACAAGGUAAAUGAAACAUCAGUAAAAUAAAAGAUACUAUCAAGUCUUUUUAUAAUAUCUUACAUUCUCAAUCUUAGGAGAUAAGAAUCCAUAAAGCAAUGUUAGAGAUCUAUAAGAUCAAAAUCAGCACUUCUUCAUGCCCAAAACAUAAGUUUCAAUCUUAAAAAUUCUAAUAUCAAUAAACACUAUAAGAUCUAUUCCACACAAGUACAACUACAAGAAAAUGAUACUAACUUACUUAAAUGGCACAACAAAGUGUUAGUGGGCCCAUAAUCUAUUGAAAAAAUUUAACAAGCAAGACACAAGUAAAUAGAAAUCAAGAAGGUAACAUACAAGAGAAGCGUGGAAUGAGAUACCUCCUACUUCCAAUACCUUUGACUUAUAGGUGGUGGUUGCUAAUCAACGAGGUAACUUCCAUCCUUUUGAUAUU
rnacentral:lncRNA from 1 species